rnacentral:rRNA from 1 species
UACGUAGGGGGCAAGCGUUGUCCGGAAUCAUUGGGCGUAAAGCGCGUGUCGGCGGCUCGAUAAGUCUGCUGUGAAAGUCCAGGGCUCAACCCUGGGAUGCCGGUGGAUACUGUCGAGCUCGAGUCCGGAAGAGGCGAGUGGAAUUCCUGGUGUAGCGGUGAAAUGCGCAGAUAUCAGGAGGAACACCAAUGGCGAAGGCAGCUCGCUGGGACGGUACUGACGCUGAGACGCGAAAGCGUGGGGAGCAAACAGG